UUGUAGAGUCACGCACCUCUG
rnacentral:miRNA from 1 species